GAUGGGUGGGUGCGGGGUGUGGAGGGGUGCUGGAGUAGGAGCUGCGAGGCAGAACCAGUGUGGGCUGGUGUUGCGUGUUUUAAGGAGUCACAGCAUAACUGGCAGUCAGAGCUGGGGUGGAGGGAGCAGCACUCACCGUCUGCCAAGCCUGGGGGUCAGAUGGGAAGUUAUCUGCCAGCCUGAGUGACCUCUCCACUACAAGGAGUGCUCUCUACAGUGGAGUUAGAGAGCAGUCCCUGGAAACAUGAGAUGGCUUUAAAGAAAGAUCUAAGCAAACAAUAGUGACCUGCUUCUAGAGCUUAAACACCCAGUGUGGCGUGUGGUGAAAGAUUGAGUGUGGGUGGAUUUUUAAAUGGGCAGGAUUCUGCACUGGGAGGCAGCAGGGCAUGCAAGUGAUGUGCAGGUCUGGCAAGGCUGCGAAUGACCUAGAUCUGAGUGAUGCCAGGUGGAGGCUGUCCACUGGAAGGAAUCAUCUAUUAAAUACGGUUACUCUGUGCCAGAGAAGGCUUUUCAGAGAUGUUCAUUUGUGUUUUACAGAUUCAGAGAAAGAAAUGGGAAAAGUGUCAACUUAAGAGGAAGCAAUGAAUCUCUGUUGAAGCAUCCGAUAGCAGGAUCUCUGCAGAAAAUAUGUGUAUCCCAACAGCACUUUACGUGUGGUGUGUUUCAGCUUCUGGAUGGUAAAUCAAAAUUGAAGCUUCCAUCCUCUAGCUGUGGUAUGAGAAGCUUUUGGCUUUUAAUACCUUGCCAAUCACCCGGUACUCUUGAAAUUGUGGGAUUGCAUUUCAGAAGGAGCAACAGAGUUCAGAAGUGCAAUUCGUGGCCAUCUUCAUCUUAAUAUGAAACAGGCCCUUGAGUCAGGAGGGGAAGUGUUGCAUGCAAGGACCUGUUGUCUCUUCAGACCAUCUUUUUGAACCAAAGAUGACCUUGCAUUCUUCUUCAGCAUUCCAAGUAGUUUGUUGGCUGCUGAUAAGUUACUUGCUUUGCAGCCUUCAAAUCCUGAGUUCUUAUCUGUCCUGUCCAUGUAGCCAUGUGGCACAGUAUUUAGGGAAAGCAGGAAAUAAGUUAUACCUUCACAAGAGGAGUAGUGCUUUGCAGGUUUGCUCCUUUUCUUCCCACAGAAAGAUAAAUAAAGUUGAGUUGGACAGUGGGUGUUUUCUGAUCAAUGUGUUGGUGUGAAUGGUACCAGAGAUGGCUUGGAGAAAGGCUUUGUGGAAGCCAGUGUGGCAUACAAAUUGCUUGUUGGGAAAAAAAUAAAAUAAAAAAUCUAAGUAAUAGCGAUAUAAACAAGUUUCAGUAAAUUGUGACUUUUUUUUUUGGCAGUUUAAUGUAGAUUUGAUGUUUGUGAGCCUUGGAAGCUGAUGAUUUUUCCAAAGGCGAGCUCCCUAACCUGCUAAAAAUACCUGUUUUAUGAAGGUUCUGCUGCAAACCAGACUCCUGAGAUUUCCAUGUGUUUGUCACUUCUACAGCACAGUCCCGAUAAAUAAAUCUGGAGGUUAUGGCAUUGUGCAUUAACCACUUUGUGUCCUUGUUAACAGUUCUUACAGCACAGUGUGACAAGAUUAAUGUAGCAGUAGUUAAUAACCUUCUGCCUUUCAUGUUACUGGUAGAAAUGCUGCGUCAAGGAACCUCCAAUGAGUCUGAAUGUGAUACUGCUUGAGGGCAGGAUUCCUACACUAAGAAAUGAGAAUUGUACUUGAUACCUUUUUGAUGCUGCUGUGCUCUUUUGACCAGUGUUAUCAUGAAUGGGAAUUUUCAUAAUGAGACAUCCUUGGCUAUUGGAUUUGAUUGAUCCUUUGCAAGUAAAUUUAAGGUUCUGAAACACCCCUAGCAUGAAAGUUUUGUCUGGGAGGAUAUCCACUUUUUGUAUGGUAUCUUGACUGUGGAGAGAGUGAGUGCUUCUGGCAUUGGUGCUUGAUUGUGCCUCUUAAGUUACUAGUAACUGGGUAAAUAUGGUCCUCCCUGAAACCCAUUUUACACAGGACUGCAAAGGAACGGCAUGUAUAAUCUGUGCAAAUGGGGCUAAUGUGUUAAACUGUCUGUCACGCUCUCCUUCUAGUUCCUGUACCUGAGGGAUUUUUGUAAAUGUAGAUCAGCUGAGUCUGUAACUGAAAUAGGAAGAAUCUUACUUUUUAAAACUUUAGAACCUUUACAUCUGGUUAGAGGGGAAUGAUGAACGUGUGGUGAGAGUGCUGAACUGGGAUGUAGGAUACCUAUUUUCUGCCAGAGAUUGAUUAUGGGUGUUCACAUAAUUACUGAUUCUUGCUUUCUGCUCUUUGACUGUAAAAAUUAAUGCCCAUCUUUCUAAGCAUUUUAGGAAGAGUCCAUAAAUAUCUGUAAGACACUUGAAUACUGUGAUGCUAAAUGUUUUAGUAAAGCAUAAUAAGGAAAAAAAAUUAUAAGAAGAAUAUGCAUAGCCAUGACUUUAAAAUGAAGUAGACCUUUUGUGAUCUGUUAUCUUUCAUGUUCUGCAACAUGAUGAAAUUGUUGUGAAGUCAGGCCUGGCCUUCUUUAAGACAAGUAAGCAUUCUGAAACCCCCUUUCCUCUCUCCCCAGGAGCUGCUUCAUUUUUUCCACAUCUGGUCAUGCCUUAUCCAGCUGAAUGUUUGCAACUGAAACUCUUAUUUUCUCAUUUGUUUCCCUUGAUUGUUCUAGACUCAGAAAUUGUUCUCUUUGUUGCCAGGAUAUUCAUGUAAGGUCUUACUGCAAAUGUGCUCGGGCAGAAAAGGCCGAGAGCAGAAGCUUGUAGGCUGUCUCAUGUUUGGAAUGACAUAAGCCACCCUCUGGAGUGUCCUCCUGGGAGCUGUGCUUAGGAAGGAAAUGGCGUGGAAGGCCAUGAAGGAGUGUGAGAACAGCUUUGCAAUGGUUGGAAUGCAGGAUAGGCAUCACUUGGGUGGGCUCAGUUUUCCUCUACUUUUCAGCAGUGCUGGAUGCCAAGUCUGAGGAAGACUGCUGCACAGAGGGGAAGAAGGCUGGAAUGUGUUCUUCAGUUGAGGUGAAUGCAAUUCAGUAAAACUGAUAGGCAUCAAACUGAAUAAUGAUUUUAAAGUAUUUUCACAUGAUGUCUAAUCUGUGCAAAUUCUCUACCACAUAAUAGCACUGAGGCUGAGAGCUCAGAAAAGAUCAAGCACUUAUACGAGUGGUAGUGUUCAGACUUGCUUUAGCUAAAGAGCUUGUUUUAGAAGGCAUGUUUUUUUCAGACAUAACCCAAUCUCUAACAGGUAAAGGUUAGAAAAAAGGGCAUUGCAUUCUGUAAUUGUCCACUGGGCUUCUUGCUGUCUUCUAAACCUCCUAGUAUUGGCCUGUAUCAGAGGUGAGGGAUUGAAUCACACUUACUAUUUAGAUUGCCUGCUAACCUUUCCUUUUGUGAUAACCACAUCUUAAAAAAAA